rnacentral:rRNA from 1 species
GACCUAGGGCAAAACAAGUAACUGGGGCUAAGUCGUAACAAGGUAGCCGUACCGGAAGGUGUGGCUGGAACACCUCCUUUUUGGAGC